UCUAUUGAUAGUUUUAUGGGGACUGCACUUUCAGUCUAUCACAAUGUACCUGUGGUCCUUCAAAAAAUAAUUCUUAUGAGUGUCCAACGUGUUUGAGGCACUGUAUUCGAAGCGCUAAUUACUGCUUCAUACCGGCAGCCAAACGAUUCUCACAGUAUGCUAGCCCCAGUCGCGUCCCUGUGACCAAAGUGAAUGCGCGGGUAUUCUGUCAGUACCCAUUGGUGAUCUUCGCACAGCUGUGGUGAACUAAGGAAGAGUAGACGUGUUUUUGUGAGCGAGUGAUGGAAAGGAGCAAAGAUCGUGUGUGGCGGGAAUCGUUCGUCUUUCACUCAGCAGCAAUGGAGCGAGGUGAGGCAGGAGUGAUGCUGGCGUCAGACGAUGCCGUAUCGACUCCGCACGGCACUGUAAGCGUGGCGGCGACGUAAGGAAAAGUGUGACCUCUUGCUGGAUCCGGGGAACUGAAUGUCUAGGAGUCACGACCUCACGCUGCUUUUGGCUUGUUGUCUGUGUGGAAGAUUCACUCGUCAGCGAUGCGUGAGACGUGUUGGUCAUUAAUAGAGACGCCAGAUGGAAGGCUCCUGGCGGCUCCUUCAGUGCAUCUCAAGGGCAUCUGUCUGCUAUGUGCGUGCCUGGCUCUAGCUCUUCUUCACAAAAAGCCGCCAUGUUAGUAGUACUUUUACCACGUAAGAUGAAUGGUUGGGGUGGAGCAAAGGUUUUUAAAUUUCGCGCGUUGAGUUGGUUAGGUGCCUUAAAAUGUUUUGUCCUGGAAAUUUUGUUUUUUUUGUUUUCCUGCUUGGAGCGUGUUUCAUUCAUUUGUUUGAAGGAAUAGUUGAUGUGAAGCUUUUUUUUUUUUUUUAGUUUUUGUUUUCGUUUGUAGGAGUAAAUUUCUGAAUCUCGUAGUUCGUUGUUUUUCACUGCGUACUCGAUUAAUUCUUAUUACUUUUUUUUUUUUUUUUUUUUUUUUUUUUUUUUACAGCGGCACAGUUUAGAGUCAAAAUCUCUUGUUCGCUUAUCAUCACAUUUGCUGUUAUGUUUCCACGGCUUUUUCUAGAUACCUUUACUACGUACGUCAUUAUCUCAUUACGAUCUUUUUUUUUCUUCUAGCGCAAGUAGUUUAGUCUUAAAAUCCCUUACUCUUUUCUUUAUCACUAACCAAACUGGAUAUCACAUUUGCUGUUAUGUUACCACGAUUUUUUCUUUUGCUGGAAUUUGUGCGGUACUGUUUUUUCUAAUUUUCGCUUGAGGGUAUGUAGUGAGUGGCCUUGGCGUGUCUCAUUGAGGUGCCUGCGCCGCCUCCCUCGCCUUACCUUUGCAUCUCCGCCAGACUCAUUCACUUACUUGCCGCGCCAUUUUUGCUCAACAGUUCGCUGUCUUAUAAUGUUAGCUGAGGUCGUGAACUAAGUACGUAUCCUGUUUAAGUCGGUUUUACUGGAUAAAUGUCAACUUUUUUUGUGUAUGACACUAUUUUACUUACGAUUCGUGUAUUUUUUCGUUUAUGUAUAUAAGUUUAUCUGUUCAUCAAAUGUUAGUCAGCAUAUUUUUAAGCGAAAGAGAAUCAAAGGUUACACAAAUUAAGAAAGCUUUUUACUUUCAUCAGUUAUUCUCUUGUGUUUUCCUUCUCUCUUUUUCCACACUGCUCCCUUUCCUCCACGCAGCCUCCUAGCAUUCACACGUCCUUAUCUCCUUUUAUUAUCUCCACUACUCUACAGCUCCCACACUUUGCCAUCCUGAGCAUUGCAUAACAGGUUUUUCCCUCUUAUUAACCUAAUUCCCUCGCCACUUAGCGUUGUUUUGCUCCUCUCUCGAAGUGAUAGCAGAGUGGUAAUUGUGGUGGUGAUGGUGGUUACGCUGGUGAUCGUGUUAGUAGCAGUAGCGAUAGGCAACGAAAUCUACUUAUUAACUUUUAUCUCAAUUUUAGUCGAGCUCUCUUUCCUUGUUAUCCUGUUUCCGUUGUGUUUCCCUUCCUCUCUCUCUUCGCUUCUCGUCUCUUUAGCUUCCUCAUUAUCUUCCUUAUCUCUUCCUUUCCCCUUAUUCCUCCUUCCCAUCCCUCUAACUAUCCAUCCCGUCUUCUUCCCAUCAACUCUUUCCCUCUCCUCUCCUAUUU